AACGAACGCUGGCGGCAUGCCUAACACAUGCAAGUCGAACGAGACCUUCGGGUCUAGUGGCGCACGGGUGCGUAACGCGUGGGAAUCUGCCCUUGGGUUCGGAAUAACAGUUAGAAAUGACUGCUAAUACCGGAUAAUGUCUUCGGACCAAAGAUUUAUCGCCCAGGGAUGAGCCCGCGUAGGAUUAGCUAGUUGGUGAGGUAAAGGCUCACCAAGGCGACGAUCCUUAGCUGGUCUGAGAGGAUGAUCAGCCACACUGGGACUGAGACACGGCCCAGACUCCUACGGGAGGCAGCAGUGGGGAAUAUUGGGACAAUGGGCGAAAGCCUGACGGAGCAAUACCGCGUGAGGGAUGAAUGCCUAUGGGUUGUAAACUUCUUUUUUCUAGGGUAGGAAUAAAAUGACGUGUACCUGAAGAAUAAGCAUCGGCUAACUCCGUGCCAGCAGCCGCGGU
rnacentral:rRNA from 1 species